CAUAUCUCGCAACUCAAUAUGCAUAGAAAGCAGAGGAAACAGUUUCCGCAGAGAUUUCUGUUAAAGGAAUUGCCUCGGACCAUCUGGAAAAUCUGUCAAUCAUGAUUAAACAAUAACGAAAAUUUUGACAAAUAGGAAGAGGCUCAAUCAAAUGAAGAUGAAUAUGUUGAAAACGUUGAUCUGGAACAGCAAUUUUCCGUGGAAGAUUUUUAGUGUGUUUCUGAACUUUAGCACGUAGACAAGGUAGAACGACCACUUGGGUGAGAUAAAUCAUGAACAACAUCAAAUAUUCUUCUACGAAGUUGUUGAGAGAAACUAUCAUUGGCAUCGAAACGGAUUCGAUUCUUGAAAGGGAAUCUGCAACUACAUUUUGUUUGCCAGAAAUAUGCUCGAAAUUUGAGUCGAAAAUUGAGCAAUAAAAUCAAAAUGUCGAAUCUUUCUGGGAGAUGCUUUAUCUAAUUUCUGUCGAAAAGCAUAAAUUAGAGGUUUAUGAUCUGUCCUUCAAGCAUAUAUCUAAAAUGUUUAAUGUUUGUGGCUAGAUAAAUGCCAAGAAGUUUUCGAUCAUGCACCUACUGCAAAAUCUGAUGCGUCACAAGUAAGGAUGAGAGAUACAUUCGGAGCAGGAUGUGCUAAAGUGGAAACCCGUUUAAAAGUUCAUUCUUACAAUUUUUGAAGGCUUCAUCCGCUUCAGGAGUCCAGAUAAUUAAUCUUCUAUCUCUUUUCCUACUAUCCUUUAAAUAUUCUGUUAAAACCGCUUGAUGUGAUGCAGCGUUUUUUAAACAUCGACGAUAGAAAUUAAUAAUUCCUAUGAAUCUUCGUAACUCAUGUAUAGUUUUUGGUUUUUUAUAAUCUACUUUAGCUUUAACCUUUUCAGAUGUUGGCUUAAUUCUUUGCUUAGAGACGAAAUAACCAAGGAAAGGAAUUUCAUGUUUGCCAAAGAGGCAUUUGGACAAAUUGAUAAUCAUGCCAAACUGUCUAAGACGAUUAAAAACAGUGUGAAGAUGUUUAGAAUGCUCUUUCUCCACAGAAGCAGUUAAUAUGUCAUCAAGAUAACAAAAACAAAAAUCAAGUCCUGAUAGUAUAAUAUUCAUGAGACGUUGAAAGUUUGAGCAGCAUUACGCAAACCAAAAGGCAUUACAAAGAAUUCAAAGAGGCCAAAAAGUAGUAACAGCUGUUUUGUUGAAAUUUUGUAUAUGAGGAAAUGGAUAUCGAUCAGGAAUAAUGGCUGCGUUCAGAGCUCGAUAAUCUCCACAAAAUCUCCAUGAAUUCUGUCCAUUUUUGGGAACCAAGUGGAGCUGCUCAUGUACUGUUUGACGGUCGACAAAUUCCUUGUUCUACCAUGAGGUUGAAUUUAUCCCUUGCAAAUUUCAAUUUUUUUGGAGACAGUCUACGAGUUGUCGAAGCAAUCGGAGGACCUUAAGUAAUAAUAUGAUGUUCUGCAUGGUGAAUCUUGGUUGUAAAAAUAGGAGCAAAACGAGUUAAUUCAGGGAAAUCAGCGAGAAUCUUAUAAAAAAAUUGGUGAAUGAAUGAAAUGAAGUUGGUAGCUCUGAAGUUGUCGCUGUACGCCACAUGAAAAACCGGAAUCAAAGAAAUGUCAGCUCCUGUAUUGAUUAAAAAAUUAAGUCUUGAGGACUUGUCAAAAAUAAUAAGACGAUUGGUAGGUGAACCGUUGUCAGCCGCCUCACAACUCAACGAUGGAGUUAGUUUUCCUGAUUAUCAAUUAGAGAUUUAGACAUGUCACAAGAUAUGAGCUACUACGUAGGCGUUUAAUUUCAAGUACAACAAUUCUACGUUCGAGAUCUGCCAAAUUUGAAGUAUUUUCUUUAAGUGGAGAAGAUAUUGACGCUACUUGCAGACUAGUUUCGCGAUUCAUAAUUUUAUCGACUAGUUCAGCGAGCUUAAUUAAAGGACAAUCUUCAACAACAGCUAAAGUGGAUUUUCAAUUAUCUCCGCAAUUGCCAAUAACGCUUGCUCAUCAAGAUGCCGAGCAACUGAGCUAUAUUUAACGUCGUCUGAGCGAAUUUGAAAGAUUAUAAUUUUACUUUCUAAUUGAGCAAACCACAAUUUAGGCUGCU